AUUGAACGCUGGCGGCAGGCCUAACACAUGCAAGUCGAGCGGAUGACGGGAGCUUGCUCCUUGAUUCAGCGGCGGACGGGUGAGUAAUGCCUAGGAAUCUGCCUGGUAGUGGGGGACAACGUUUCGAAAGGAACGCUAAUACCGCAUACGUCCUACGGGAGAAAGCAGGGGACCUUCGGGCCUUGCGCUAUCAGAUGAGCCUAGGUCGGAUUAGCUAGUAGGUGAGGUAAUGGCUCACCUAGGCGACGAUCCGUAACUGGUCUGAGAGGAUGAUCAGUCACACUGGAACUGAGACACGGUCCAGACUCCUACGGGAGGCAGCAGUGGGGAAUAUUGGACAAUGGGCGAAAGCCUGAUCCAGCCAUGCCGCGUGUGUGAAGAAGGUCUUCGGAUUGUAAAGCACUUUAAGUUGGGAGGAAGGGCAGUGAGUUAAUACCUUGCUGUUUUGACGUUACCGACAGAAUAAGCACCGGCUAACUCUGUGCCAGCCGCCGCAGUAAAAC
rnacentral:rRNA from 1 species